rnacentral:rRNA from 1 species
UGGCUCAGGAUGAACGCUGGCGGCGUGCCUAAUACAUGCAAGUCGAACGCUUCACAUAUGUGAAGAGUGGCGAACGGGUGAGUAAUACAUAAGUAACCUGGCCUUUACAGGGGGAUAACUAUUGGAAACGAUAGCUAAGACCGCAUAGGUGUCAUAACCGCAUGGAGAUGAUAUGAAAUAUGCUACGGCAUAGGUAGAGGAUGGACUUAUGGCGCAUUAGCUAGUUGGAGGGGUAACGGCCCACCAAGGCGACGAUGCGUAGCCGACCUGAGAGGGUGACCGGCCACACUGGGACUGAGACACGGCCCAGACUCCUACGGGAGGCAGCAGUAGGGAAUUUUCGGCAAUGGGGGAAACCCUGACCGAGCAACGCCGCGUGAAGGAAGAAGUAAUUCGUUAUGUAAACUUCUGUCAUAGAGGAAGAACGGUGCGUGUAGGGAAUGACAUGCAAGUGACGGUACUCUAUAAGAAAGCCACGGCUAACUACGUGCCAGCAGCCGCGGUAAUACGUAGGUGGCGAGCGUUAUCCGGAAUUAUUGGGCGUAAAGAGGGAGCAGGCGGCACUAAGGGUCUGUGGUGAAAGAUCGAAGCUUAACUUCGGUAAGCCAUGGAAACCGUAGAGCUAGAGUGUGUGAGAGGAUCGUGGAAUUCCAUGUGUAGCGGUGAAAUGCGUAGAUAUAUGGAGGAACACCAGUGGCGAAGGCGACGAUCUGGCGCAUAACUGACGCUCAGUCCCGAAAGCGUGGGGAGCAAAUAGGAUUAGAUACCCUAGUAGUCCACGCCGUAAACGAUGAGUACUAAGUGUUGGGAGUCAAAUCUCAGUGCUGCAGUUAACGCAAUAAGUACUCCGCCUGAGUAGUACGUUCGCAAGAAUGAAACUCAAAGGAAUUGACGGGGGCC